AACGAACGUUGGCGGCGUGGAUGAGGCAUGCAAGUCGAACGCGAAAGCCGCAAGGCGAGUAAAGUGGCGGACGGGCGAGUAACACGUAAUCAAGCUACCUGCCGAGACGGGGAUAACUUCGGGAAACCGAAGCUAAGACCCGAUGGUCUUCUAGGAACGCAUGUUCCAUGAAGUAAAUGGGCGGGAUCCUCCGGGAUCGCCUGCUCGCAGAGGUGAUUGCGGCCCAUCAGCUAGUUGGUAGGGUAAUGGCCUACCAAGGCAACGACGGGUAGCCGGCCUUAGAGGGUGGUCGGCCGCACUGGGACUGAGACACUGCCCAGACUCCUACGGGAGGCUGCAGUCGAGAAUAUUCCCCAAUGGCCGAAAGGCUGAGGGAGCGACGCCGCGUG
rnacentral:rRNA from 1 species